rnacentral:rRNA from 1 species
GACGAACCGAGCGAACGUUGUUCGGAAUCACUGGGCUUAAAGGGCGCGUAGGCGGGCUGUCAAGUCUGGGGUGAAAUCCCGCGGCUCAACCGUGGAACUGCCUCAGAUACUGACGGCCUCGAGGGAGAUAGGGGCGAGCGGAACUAAUGGUGGAGCGGUGAAAUUCGUUGAUAUCAUUAGGAACUCCGGUGGCGAAGGCGGCUCGCUGGAUCUUUUCUGACGCUGAGGCGCGAAAGCUAGGGGAGCAAACGGG